rnacentral:rRNA from 1 species
AACGCUAGCUACAGGCUUAACACAUGCAAGUCGAGGGGCAGCAUGGUCUUAGCUUGCUAAGGCCGAUGGCGACCGGCGCACGGGUGAGUAACACGUAUCCAACCUGCCGUCUACUCUUGGACAGCCUUCUGAAAGGAAGAUUAAUACAAGAUGGCAUCAUGAGUCCGCAUGUUCACAUGAUUAAAGGUAUUCCGGUAGACGAUGGGGAUGCGUUCCAUUAGAUAGUAGGCGGGGUAACGGCCCACCUAGUCUUCGAUGGAUAGGGGUUCUGAGAGGAAGGUCCCCCACAUUGGAACUGAGACACGGUCCAAACUCCUACGGGAGGCAGCAGUGAGGAAUAUUGGUCAAUGGGCGAGAGCCUGAACCAGCCAAGUAGCGUGAAGGAUGACUGCCCUAUGGGUUGUAAACUUCUUUUAUAAAGGAAUAAAGUCGGGUAUGCAUACCCGUUUGCAUGUACUUUAUGAAUAAGGAUCGGCUAACUCCGUGCCAGCAGCCGCGGUAAUACGGAGGAUCCGAGCGUUAUCCGGGUUUAUUGGGUUUAAAGGGAGCGUAGAUGGAUGUUUAAGUCAGUUGUGAAAGUUUGCGGCUCAACCGUAAAAUUGCAGUUGAUACUGGAUAUCUUGAGUGCAGUUGAGGCAGGCGGAAUUCGUGGUGUAGCGGUGAAAUGCUUAGAUAUCACGAAGAACUCCGAUUGCGAAGGCAGCCUGCUAAGCUGCAACUGACAUUGAGGCUCGAAAGUGUGGGUAUCAAACAGGAUUAGAUACCCUGGUAGUCCACACGGUAAACGAUGAAUACUCGCUGUUUGCGAUAUACGGCAAGCGGCCAAGCGAAAGCGUUAAGUAUUCCACCUGGGGAGUACGCCGGCAACGGUGAAACUCAAAGGAAUUGACGGGGGCCCGCACAAGCGGAGGAACAUGUGGUUUAAUUCGAUGAUACGCGAGGAACCUUACCCGGGCUUAAAUUGCAGAUGAAUUACGGUGAAAGCCGUAAGCCGCAAGGCAUCUGUGAAGGUGCUGCAUGGUUGUCGUCAGCUCGUGCCGUGAGGUGUCGGCUUAAGUGCCAUAACGAGCGCAACCCUUGUUGUCAGUUACUAACAGGUUCCGCUGAGGACUCUGACAAGACUGCCAUCGUAAGAUGUGAGGAAGGUGGGGAUGACGUCAAAUCAGCACGGCCCUUACGUCCGGGGCUACACACGUGUUACAAUGGGGGGUACAGAGGGCCGCUACCACGCGAGUGGAUGCCAAUCCCAAAAACCUCUCUCAGUUCGGACUGGAGUCUGCAACCCGACUCCACGAAGCUGGAUUCGCUAGUAAUCGCGCAUCAGCCACGGCGCGGUGAAUACGUUCCCGGGCCUUGUACACACCGCCCGUCAAGCCAUGGGAGCCGGGGGUACCUGAAGUGCGUAACCGCGAGGAGCGCCCUAGGGUAAAACUGGUGACUGGG